GAAGCUGACCAGACAGUCGCCGCUUCGUCGUCGUCCUCCUUCGGGGGGAGACGGGCGGAGGGGAGGAAAGUCCGGGCUCCAUAGGGCAAGGUGCCGAGGUAACGCCUGGGGGUGUCACAGCCCACGACCAGUGCAACAGAGAGCAAACCGCCGAUGGCCCGCGCAAGCGGGAUCAGGUAAGGGUGAAAGGGUGCGGUAAGAGCGCACCGCGCGGCUGGUAACAGUCCGCGGCACGGUAAACUCCACCCGGAGCAAGGCCAAAUAGGGGUUCAUAAGGUACGGCCCGUACUGAACCCGGGUAGGCUGCUUGAGCCAGUGAGCGAUUGCUGGCCUAGAUGAAUGACUGUCCACGACAGAACCCGGCUUAUCGGUCAGUUUCACCU
rnacentral:RNase_P_RNA from 1 species